rnacentral:rRNA from 1 species
GAUGAACGCUAGCUACAGGCUUAACACAUGCAAGUCGCGGGGCAGCAUGGGGGUUGCUUGCAAUCCCCGAUGGCGACCGGCGCACGGGUGAGUAACGCGUAUCCAACCUGCCCUUCACCACGGGAUAACCCGGCGAAAGUCGGACUAAUACCGUAUGUUGUCCAUUGACGGCAUCCGAUUUGGACGAAAGGCUUGGCGGUGAGGGAUGGGGAUGCGUCCGAUUAGCCAGACGGCGGGGUAACGGCCCACCGUGGCUACGAUCGGUAGGGGUUCUGAGAGGAAGGUCCCCCACACUGGAACUGAGACACGGUCCAGACUCCUACGGGAGGCAGCAGUGAGGAAUAUUGGUCAAUGGGCGUAAGCCUGAACCAGCCAAGUAGCGUGCAGGAUGACGGCCCUAUGGGUUGUAAACUGCUUUUAUGCGGGGAUAAAGUGGCCCACGUGUGGGCUUUCGCAGGUACCGCAUGAAUAAGGACCGGCUAAUUCCGUG